UUAUGAGCCUUAUAUAGUUUUGUUCUACAAAAACAUAAAGAAUAAUUUGUUUGAAUAGUGAUAAAUAUUGUUUUAAGAAUUGUUAAAUGUGAAUAAUCAAUGCUUCUGAAUCUGACAAUAAUGUUUGCAUGAAAAAGUAAAAAAUAACUUUUUAUUCCUGACUUAUUUUUAACUGGUUUAAAUCUAAAACUAAACAUUUUUUGUCUGUUUAAAAGAAAAUGGUUUAAAAAACAUAACGUUUCUUUAUUGAUUUAUUUCAGUUAAAGUUUAGAGUUUUUAGAGUUUUAGUGCUGUAGAAGGAAAACACUUUGACCUGACUGGAUGUGUGUGUGGUGUGUGUUUGUUUGUGUGUCUGUGUGUGUGGUGUGUUUGUGUGUCUGUCUGCAGCUUUGAUCAAAGCAGAGCAGUGUCAGAGCGAGGGGGCGUGGCAGGAAGGGGAGGAGUCCAGUUCAGAGCUGGAGGAUGAGGAGGCGGAGCAAAGAGAGAACAGUGAAGCUGAUGAAGACGAGGAGGAGGAGGGAGAACACAGGCAGGAUGAAGAUGAUGAAGAUGAUGAUGAUGAUGAUGCUCACAACCACAUGGAGAACAGUCAUCUUUCAUCAGAAGUCGACUCUGUUCAGCCGUGAGAUCAGAAUCUGUUGAGGAGACGGAGCGAAGGAGGAGACGGACAGUUGUGGAUGUCGGCGCAGGAAGGCCAUCAAACAGCGGGGAUCCAGUGAAACACACACGCCAACAGACAGAACUCACAGAAACACGCAGAGGAGAGCAACCCGACACUUGGCCCGAGCCGCAGGAAGGCCGUAAAGCAGCAGGGAACUGCCAGAACACAUCAUUAGCAGAUGAGUUGUGUUUUACAGGCACAGGAACACACUUUAAACAGAACCAAAAACAGAACUCGCCAAAGGAGGUCGAUCCCGCUCCGUGUCGGCGCCACAUGGAGACGGUAAAACUAAAAAAGAAAAAAACAGCAGGACUUUGUCAGAAACUGGUUUCAUGCUCGUGAAAUAUCCCCUCGUGCGACAGCGGCCAUGUUUGGACGUCCUCGUCUCGUCUCAGGACUUUAAACUGGAUCCAAGUUUCUCGUCCCUGAACCAGAACCCAUACAAAUAAACCCAGACAGGUGACAGGUGUGGUCCGAGGUGCAACCAGUGUCGUGUUUGUGUGUUUAUUUAUUGUGUGGUUAUAUGCAGGGGUUAUCACAGGGCAGUAAAUGUUUACAGCUUCCAAAGGUUGAUAUUUGUUCAAAACUGAAUUUAUGUUUUAAAGGGAGCCAGGAUUAGUUUUAACAUUAGACUUUAUUUGAUAAACAUUUAUUUUAA